rnacentral:ncRNA from 2 species
UCCCGAUAAUAGCAAACCAUUCGAAAGGGUGGGACGCAAAGUCACAGGCCUAAGGAAUUUCUAUGGCGGCUGGAUUGCCGAA